rnacentral:rRNA from 1 species
AUUGAACGCUGGCGGCAUGCUUUACACAUGCGAGUCGAACGGUAACAGGCCGCAAGGUGCUGACGAGUGGCGCACGGGCGAGUAAUGCAUCGGAACGUGCCCAGUCGUGGGGGAUAACUACUCGAAAGAGUAGCUAAUACCGCAUACGAUCUAUGGAUGAAAGCGGGGGACCGUAAGGCCUCGCGCGAUUGGAGCGGCCGAUGUCAGAUUAGGUAGUUGGUGGGGUAAAGGCUCACCAAGCCAACGAUCUGUAGCUGGUCUGAGAGGACAACCAGCCACACUGGGACUGAGACACGGCCCAGACUCCUACGGGAGGCAGCAGUGGGGAAUUUUGGACAAUGGGCGCAAGCCUGAUCCAGCAAUGCCGCGUGCAGGAAGAAGGCCUUCGGGUUGUAAACUGCUUUUGUACGGAACGAAACGGCUCUGGUUAAUACCCGGGGCUAAUGACGGUACCGUAAGAAUAAGCACCGGCUAACUACGUG